rnacentral:lncRNA from 1 species
UUGUUCGUUCGAGUUUUUUUCGGAGUCGUGUUUUGGUGGAAGAAUCGCUACCCUCCUCAGCUCGUUCGUUUUAGGUCGCUGCUCCAAGAAAGGUGAUAUUUUUCAUCCUUCGUAUUACAUUUCGAUAUUAGUUGUUGUUUGAAUCUUGUUCAUUUUCUAAGUUUUCAGUAGUUAGUUGUUUCCUUUUUUUUUAUUUUUUAUUUAUGCUUUCUCAACUUGAAGAACAUUAAGAACGGAAUAUAAUUGGUUGAGCUUUCCCUUGGGUUGAUGUUUCGUUAUAAGUAAAUGUGCAUUUGAUGGUUCAUAUCUAUUUUAGAUUGAUUUUGGUUGUAGAACUCGAGCAAUCCCUCUCCAUUUAAAGUACCCGCAUACAACGACAAAAAUAAUUUGAUCUCGUCCUUGUGCAUUAGAAGAAGCUUAAGCUUGGUUGUUUACUAUUUUAGCAUGAUUUUAGUUACUACCACACUCGUGAGUUUAUAUUUCUUUCCUCAGAAUCUUUACCCAUGAGUUUCCAUCGAAUUUAUCUACCACAUUUUAGCUUAGGAACUGCUAUAGCAGAUUAUGUUAGACAAAUUGCUACUAUGUCAAUAAUACAUUAUGGUACAAUUUAGGAAUUUAAAUACAGCCAUAGCUACUCUUUUCCUUCCCCUUCAUUGAUUGUUGUGCCAUUCAAGUUAACAUAGACUGUUAUUUUCGACUCAUUAUUCAGCGAACAUUCUGCUUGUGUUUAAUAGGGGACCAUUUGACUAUGGAAGAUUUUGUCCCAUUUGUUGGUAUACCAUUUGAUUGAGGUUCCAGAAUAUGGAAUUUAUACACUAGCUUUGGUUAUCAUUGAGCCCAUUUGAAGCUCUAUCUAAUCAAGUUAUGCUUGUAAAUACAAUUUCAGUUGCAAGAAUGGUAAGGAUGCAUUCUGUGUACAUCUAAGACCAACAUUGUGUCUCUAUUCUAAUUCCUAUCACAGGAUUAACUCUUUUAUACAUCUUAAGACAUCUACAUGUGUUUUUUUUUAUUUGGUGUUGGAGUAUGGUCUUGGUAAAAAGUCAAAUGUUUGAUAGCCUAUUUGUCUACACCAAUUUUAGCAUGUUGGUUUAGUAAGUUGACACUAUAAACAUCCUCUUGUAUUUAAGACUAUGCAGGUAAUGACAUCCUUAGAACUAUAUAUAUGGCCUAAUUUGAUUUUAAUAAAUUCAGGAUUAGUACAGUUCCUUAUCUUUAGAUGUAUGUUGAAUGUGUAAUCUCUAUCAGUUGAUGUUCAAAGUUCAUUGUGAUGCUUUAUUGAUUAUUUUUUUUCCUUUUACUCUCCGAUCAUUUGAAAAUAUUGCAUUGGCAUAUAGUGGAUAUUUGAGUAGAGCUAUUUUGUCAAGAGUAUUAAUGCUUUUAUUCAUUAUGUUAAAACCUUGUUGUUACCAUUCUUUAAGAUUUGCUCCUUAUUAGGAUAGUGUUGUAGGGUCAAUUCUUAAAAUUAGUAUAUCCAUGUUGGUUAGUCCAUUUUACAUUAAUUAGAUUAAGCAUGAAUUUUGGCAUAGCAAUAGAUUCAAAAUGAGUUGAUGAAACUUGGCAUAUGGCUUUGAUAGGACACUACCAUGAGACUUAGUUUUAUUAAAAAAUGUGUCGUGUGAAUACUCGUUUUUGAUAAAUGUAGUAAAUUUCCUUAAUUAGUUUGCUUGGAAGUCAAUGAUAUCAUGUUUUGUCUUGUAUCUUAGAUAUUUACUUUCUUACAUUCAAUCGAUUGCACAUUUAAAUAUUGUUUAUGCCAAUUCUAAUUUCUUAUCACCCUUUUUUAUUGCAUGUGAAAUAUAUACGAAUCCUCAUGGGCUUCCACCCUCUCGUUGCAUUUCGAUGAUUGGGCCAUAGGGGCCCAAUUUUUCUUUUCUUCGAGUCAGCCGGGUCAUCCGAAUAAGGCUGUACAGGGGCUGGAAAUAAAAAAAAACUCUCAGAAAGCUGAAAACAGGCUGAGAUACAGCCUGUAUACAUUAAUAUACAUCAGUAUACACUCAUAUACAGGUCAAAAAUGCAAGAAUACAGGGCUGGAGCAAAAUACAUGUGUUCGGAAGCAAGAGAUACAUGAAAAGAGAUAAUAUAUAUGUUCAUAUACACUGAUAUACAUCCGGUGUAUACGCAAAACGAGAAUUGAAUUAAAGCUUAAAAAUACAACGAAAUUGGCCCAAGAAGGGGCCCAAUUUCAUUAUCUCAUUUACUCUUCUAAUGAUUUGACUAUGUGUUGACUAAUCUUAUUUAACUCUAACUUUAAUUAGCUUAAUUAGAUUCCCCAAAAGAGGAGUUAUUUUCUUUAUGUUGGUUUAAUUUUUAAUAUAUUUCAUGUUUUGUGUUCAUUCAUUUUGG